AUUGAACGCUGGCGGCAGGCCUAACACAUGCAAGUCGAGCGGAUGAAGGGAGCUUGCUCCUGGAUUCAGCGGCGGACGGGUGAGUAAUGCCUAGGAAUCUGCCUGGUAGUGGGGGAUAACGUCCGGAAACGGGCGCUAAUACCGCAUACGUCCUGAGGGAGAAAGUGGGGGAUCUUCGGACCUCACGCUAUCAGAUGAGCCUAGGUCGGAUUAGCUAGUUGGUGGGGUAAAGGCCUACCAAGGCGACGAUCCGUAACUGGUCUGAGAGGAUGAUCAGUCAAACUGGAACUGAGACACGGUCCAGACCCCUAAGGGAGGCAGCAGUGGGGAAUAUUGGACAAUGGGCGAAAGCCUGAUCCAGCCAUGCCGCGUGUGUGAAGAAGGUCUUCGGAUUGUAAAGCACUUUAAGUUGGGAGGAAGGGCAGUAAGUUAAUACCUUGCUGUUUUGACGUUACCAACAGAAUAAGCACCGGCUAACUUCGUG
rnacentral:rRNA from 1 species